rnacentral:lncRNA from 1 species
AACGAAACACAGAAUACAGGGAGGUAAUUUGGCCAGGGGAAAUCAGAGAGGGUUUUCCAGGUGAGGCAAACUUUGAGUUGCAUCUUGAAGAACAAGUGGAAUUCCACUAGGUAGAAAGUGCGGGGAGGUGCCGCCAGGUGGAGGAAGGGCAUGUGGAGUGGCUCAGAGGCCUGAGGGCAAGUGGACCUUUUAGACUUAUUCGUGGUUUUGCGGUUGCCCAGUGCCUUGAAGUUCUGAUUAAUGGGCUUGGAUGAUUGAUAAUCUCUACCAUAUGGCAAUAAUCUAACAUUUGAAAAGCCAUCUCUCCUUUCUGUUGAUUAUAGUGAGGCAAAGACAGAAAAAGUCAUACGCAUCCGCAACAUUACAACCCUGAUUGAACUCAGCCUUCUACCUACUCUGAACCUGAUCUAACUGAACCUCAUCCAACAGCUGAGCAUUGUUGGAGAAAAAUCAAGCAACUGUGCUUUCUCCGUUGAAAAGCCUAACCACAGAUCUUGAGCAGACACCCAACACAGACCGGCAGUCCUGCCAACUUCUCUCAUAUCUUCACUCGCCUGCUAACUGAGGUUGUUAUUGCAGGAUUGAUUCUCGUUUUAUCUCCGGAACAGGAAACAGCACAAAGAAGAGCAUUGAGUCUGGAAUUUCUCUACUCACUUGUGAUGGCCUCAUCUGAGAUUAGCCCCCACGAUCCCCACCACCAGCAGUCUAGCCACAGCCUCCUGCUGCCACAAUCCAGCCUUCAGCCAGCACUCGAUAAACAGCUUGCUUGGGAAGAUUCACCCGGAGCUAACAUCUGUGCCAAUCUUCCUCUACUUUGUAUGUGGGAUGCCUCCACAGCAUGGCUGAUGAGUGGAGCAAGUUCACACUGAGGAUCUGAACUUGCAAACCUGGGCUGCCGAAGUGGAGCAUAAAGAAAUUUAACCAGUCAGCCACGGGGCUGGCCCCCUGGAUUGAGUAUUUUUUAACUUCCAUUUUACUUAUUUCCAUUAUUGGAUUAUUACUUUUACUGCUUUUUAAAAAUGUUUGAUCUCAUGUGCUAGCAUUGGCAGUAUACAUCUCUAAUUACUUGCAUUCUAUCUUCACAUAAUAGGUAGGUUGAAGACUCAUAACAGUAUACUUCCAAUUCCACCUUUCCUGCCUUUGAGCUAUUGUUGCUAUAGAUUUUACUUUUAUAUAGUGUAUAAAGGCAUGAUAAAUUUGUGCUAUUUUUGCUUUAGACAAUUUUCUAUUAGUGUCAUUAAAAAUAAAAAAACUCUUUUGUGUUUACUUUCAUUUUAACCAUUUCUAGAGAUCUUUAAUGCUCUGUAUAAAUCUAAGCUUGUGUCUUAUAUCAUAUUCUUUCUGCCUGAAGAACUUCCUUUUACACUUUAUAGUGCAUGUGUACUGGUAAUGAAUUCUUUCAUCUUUUCUUUGUCUGAAAAAGAUGUUAAUUUGCCUCAUUUUUGAAGGAUAUUUUUGUUGUGUAUAGAAUUCUCAGUUGCAAUUUUUUUCUUUCAACAUGUCUUCUUAUUCUCAUACUUUCUGAUGAGAAAUCUGUUGUCAGUUUUACCUUCAUUCCUCUAUAUGUAAUGUGCCCUUUUUCUCUGGUUGUUUUUAAUAUUUUCUUUCUCUCUCUCUUUUUUUUUUUUUUUUUCUUUUCACUGCCUUGUAUAUAUGUCUAUUUUUUUUUAAUUAUUUAUCCUGCUUGGGAAUCUCUGAGCUUCUGGAAUAUGUGCAUUUGAUGUGCUUCAUUAUUUUUGGAAAAUCGUUAACCAUCAUCCUUCAAAUAUUUAUUCUGUCUAUUCUCUCUCUUAACUUCUUCUAGAUUUCAGUUGGUGUAUGUUAGACCAUUUGAUAUCAUCUUAUAGCCCUUGGAUGCUCUCAUCUGUUUCAUUCAGUCUCUGUCUCUUUGUAUUUCAGUUUAGGUAAUUUCUAUUGACCUAUCAUUAAGGUUGCAGAUUGUUUUAUUUAGCUGUAUCAUGUCUAUUAAAGUAAAAGUUGAGGGCAUUCUUCUUUUGUUUCUGUGUAUUUGUUUCUAGCAUUGUCAUUUGACCCUUUCUUAUAGUUUUCAUAUCUCCACUGAAAUUCAAUAUCUGUUCAUGCAUGUUGACCUCCGAUCCUGCUAGAGCCUUUCACAUGUUUGUUAUAGUGAUUUUAAAUUUACUAUAUGGUGGCUCAACAUAUGGGUCAUCUCUGGAUCUAUCAGUUGCUUUUUCUCUCGUCAGUAGGUUGUUUUGUUCUUGCUUUUUUGUAUUUUUCAUUGAAUAGUGAGUAUCAUGUGUAGAACAGUAGAGAGUGAGAUAACUACUAUUUCUGCUUGGAAAUGGGUCUACCUGUCUUCUGCUAGGCUGUUAUUGUGGGGUGUUAGGUCAGUCUAUUCAGAAGUGAGCAGGGUUUGGGUUUUGCUGUUGCUGUGGGUUCAUUCACUAUAUCCCCGGCUUCAAAUUCCUCUAGCAUUACCUCCUGUUUGGGGUGGGGUCUUGUUUGCCAUUGGUUUUUUUUGUUGUUGUUGUUAAGGAAGAUUGGCCCUGAGCUACCAUCUCUUCCCUAUCUUCCUCUUUUUGCUUGAGGAAGAUUGUCCCUAAGCUAACAUCUGUGCCAGUCUUCCUCUAUUUUAGGAGUGGGAUGCUGCCACAGCAUGGCUUGAUGAAUGGUGUGUAGGUCUACACUCAGGAUCUGAACCUGUGAACACCAGGCCACCAAAGUGGAGCAUGUAAACUUAACCACUACACUACCAGGCUUGCCUUUGCCAUUGGAUUUUCUUAAUGUUUCUGCU